GAGAGAACCACCUCAGAAGGCAUAGAAGACUCUGCCCCUGCCCAUUUGGGAUGCUGAGGCAGGUGGAUUACCUGAGGUCAGGAGUUUGAGACCAGCCUGACCAACACGAUGAAACUCCACCUCUACUAAAUAUACAAAAAUUAGCCAGGCAUAGUGGUGGGCUCCUGUAAUCCUAGCAAUUUGGGAGGCUGAGGUGGGAAAAUUGCUUGAACCUGGGAAGCAGAGGUUGCAGUGAGCCGAGAUUGCUCCAUUGCACUCAAGCCUGGGCAACAAGAGUGAAACUAAGUCUCAAAAAAAAAAGAAGAUUCUGCACCGAGGAGUGUUUUUACCUUCUGAACCAGUUAUCCAGAGAGACCAAACGGCUUUAGUCACAGCAAAUCUGAGGACUUCUAGGUGCCCUCCUGAGUGCCCAGAACCAUAAAGAAUAGAAAGGUCAAGAGAAGAAUGCAUUUGCCAGACCAAUAGCUGCAUAUCAAGUGCCAGAGGAUGUGGUAAAUUGCUCAAGCAAUGAAACCGGUUCUGGUACCGGAGCUGCAAUUGGCAUCACCACCUGGAGAUUUACCAUAGAGUAUCACAGAGCUCUUCAAGGAUGCUGGGGCUCCCCUCACAAAAUUGUUUCUUACAGUCACAAUGCAAGGACUUUGCCAACAAUGUUGAACAGAGUGGUCUAAAGGAUGGGCUUUUGCCAUGUCACUCAGGCUGGUCUCAAACUCUUGGACUUAAGUUACCCACUUGUCUUAGCCCCCCAAAGCACUGGAAUUAGAGGCAUUAGCCACUGCACCUGGCCUGGUUAGUCUGUUUAAAAUUAGAACCUGAGCUCAUCUCAAGAAGUAUGCUUACCACUUUAGGGCAAAGCAAACAAUGAUUGUACAUAUUUUUCUUUGGUGGGCCAGAUGCCAUGCUGCUUUCUUCAUGAAGGCUUCCCUAUUCUCAGCCAAUGCCAGCUGCAGGAAACGAAGUAAUGUAAAGCCAAACUGAGACGAGUUUAUGGCUGGUACUAAAAGAAAAGAAUAAAAGCAUCUCAUUUGGCAGUCUUCUGUAGCCUAGUAAAGGCUUCUGAUAUAGUUGGUACCAAGACAACCCCAUUUAUCCCAGACAAGACUACUCAGCUUUAAGAAAAGUGCAGACUCAGCUGGGAAGAGGAAUUACUGCCAAGGCAGAAGUGCAUUGGCUCCGGCUCUUAGUGUGUUCUCCUGUGACUCCUCCAAACAACUUGCCCUGAAUCCAGUCCAGAUCAAAUGACUGUCAGCACUCAAACCUGUACUGAAGCUGCAUACUGGCCACUGCUGCUCGCAUGUUACCUAAACAUCUCAGACUCAACGUGUUGCAAAUACAACUGCAUCCCACAAAUAAUUUCCUUCUUUUAUAUCUUCUGUCUCCAUGAAUAUGUUAAAAUUUCUCCAAUGUCCAAGGCCAGAAACUGGAUAAUUAUUCAUUUUUGACUCUCAUCCUUCUUCCCUUUUUUAUCCAACUGGCGAAAUCACGCCAGUUCUGUCUUCUGAAUGCCUCUUUCACUUACCCUGGCUCCUUCGUUUGUUAUCCUUGGUCUUCGUCAUUCCCUAUCUGUCAAUGGCAGUUGUGUAAUCAAGUUUUUGUUCUCAAGUUCUCUGAUUCAUUCUGCAGUCUAUUGUUCAACUUAUUUUUCAGAAAUGUAAAUCUGAUCCUGUUUCUUGCCAGUUUUCAAAGAAACUCAAUCAAUUUUAAGAAGAAAAAAAAAACUGGCUGUCCAGCUUCUACUUUCACUACCUGGCCACCCAUGAACCUCCAUAUAGCAUGAACAGUUACUUUUAAAAAAUAUUUUUGAAGCAUAAUUUACACACAAUAAAAUACAGAUACUAUGUGUGUGUUCAUGUGUUUUGAUAAAUGAAUAUGUUUGUGAAACCAUUAUCUAGUUAACAUUUAACACAUCAGUCAUCUUUUUUGUAAAAUAUAAACCUUCUUAUGUUUCUUGUUACUCUCAAAAGUGUUUCAUCACAGAAUGAAAUUCUAUUCCCAUUCUUGAAACUGCCUUUGCACAAUUAUGAUUGAGACAGUGAAAGAUCUAAUUUACCCAACUCCAUCUUGCUUCUAACCUCCAAGCUGUCCUUGUUCAUUCCUUGGCCACAGGCUGAACUAACUUUGGGAGAAACUUAGUUUGUAGUUCAAACAAAGAUGGUAAUAGCCUUUUGCCAUUGCAGAUCUUCUUCUUGCCUGUGGACUAUACUGCCUUUGUAGGACUAACAUUAGCCACAAGAUUAGAAAUUAUAGUUUAGGAGUCAGGCAGCUGGAGGCUACAAAAUUCUGACCCUCCCUAAACUGCUUCUAAGAUCAGUGCUUGAGAUAUUUUGCAGACCCUGCACUUGAUGGAUCAGCUGGCACCCCCCAAGAUCAAUAAACUGGCUCAUAUAAUCUUGUGGCCCCAACCCAGGAACUGACUCAGUGUAAGAAGACAGCUUUGACUCCCUAUACUCCUGCACAGCCACAUAUGCAUGAAUUACUCUUUCUCUGUUGCAAUUCCCCUGUCUUGAUGAAUUGACUCUAUCCAGGCAGUGGGUAAGGUGAAACCCUUGGGUUGUUACAUUCUUAUUUAUAUAAUUACAUAGGUAGGACCCUGCCCAACUCUCUGACCUUUUCUCCUACAAAUCUACCCCUCAUUCAUACAGCCCAUCUCUAUGCUCUUUUCUAGUUGUCUCCAGUUCAUCUCUGCCUUUGCCUAGAACACUUUCAUGGCUUUCUGCCUAACUUCUGUCAACCUUAAAUAAUGAGAUUCAGAAAAUAUUAUUAAGUAUAGAGUGUAUUUCAGUGAAAAGUGUGAGGAUAGCCACCCAGGAAGCACUGACUCCAAAUAAAUGGGGUCAGUGCUCCUAGGUAGGGAGGUUAAGAUUUUAUUUACAAAAGGGAGAGACAGAGAAGUUGCAGCAGAAUUACAUUUUUCAUACAAAUGCAUGCAUUAUAGAAAUUUGAUUGGUUGCAGAUUGUUGAUUCCAAGGAAGAUUAUUUUAAUACUCUAUGAGGAGGGAUAAUGACAGAGUGGGUCUUAUCUCUGUUACUGUUUGGUCUUCCUAAUAACUUAUAAAAGAAAAAAGAAAGGGCAGAAAGAAGAAGCUACAGCUACAUGCCUCAUCACACAAGCCAUAUAGCCAGAUUCCUUUCAAGGCUCAAAAUAACAUAAAAUUUCAACAGCUUUAAAUUUGAAUUAUUUUAUUUCUUUUUUUUUUCUGACAGAGUUUCACUGUCAUUACUUAGGCUGAAGUGCAAUGGCGCGAUCUCGGCUCACCGCAACCUCUACCUCCUGGGUUCAAGCAAAUCUCCUACCUCAGCCUCCCAAGUAGCUGGGACUAUAGGCAUGCACCACCAUGCCCAGCUAAUUUUUGUAUUUUUAGUAGAGAUGGAGUUUCACUAUGUUGACCGGGAUGGUCUCGAUCUCUUGACCUAGUGAUCCACCCGCCUCGGCCUCCCAAAAUGCUGGGAUUAUAGGCAUGAGCCACCACACCUGGCCCGAAUUAUUUUAUUUCACAUUUCCUUCAGGUUUGUUCAAAUGUCCUUUCUUACAGCCCAAUAG